rnacentral:rRNA from 1 species
AUUGAACGCUGGCGGCAUGCCUUACACAUGCAAGUCGAACGGCAGCACGGGAGCAAUCCUGGUGGCGAGUGGCGAACGGGUGAGUAAAGUAUCGGAACGUACCAUUCAGUGGGGGAUAACGUAGCGAAAGUUACGCUAAUACCGCAUAUUCUGUGAGCAGGAAAGCAGGGGAUCGCAAGACCUUGCGCUGAUUGAGCGGCCGAUAUCAGAUUAGCUAGUUGGUGGGGUAAAAGCUCACCAAGGCGACGAUCUGUAGCGGGUCUGAGAGGAUGAUCCGCCACACUGGAACUGAGACACGGUCCAGACUCCUACGGGAGGCAGCAGUGGGGAAUUUUGGACAAUGGGGGGCAACCCUGAUCCAGCCAUGCCGCGUGAGUGAAGAAGGCCU